AUAAAUGCCCUUGAUCUUUCCGUUUCUCGGCGCAUGGAUCUGAAAAUUUAGGGGUACUUUGGUAUUUAUGCAAAUCAGACGCUUAUUAAGAGAUAAAGGAAAAUUAAGGGCUUUUAUGAGAAAUUCUACCUUUCUCUGUUGAUGCCUACAAUUCCCAUACCUGCGCCUCGAUUGGGGUCGACAAGGAAGGCUUGGGUGAGCCGCAACCGCGUCGGUCCGGCUCCAUCUGGAAAUGCCGAAACCCGCUCCGCUCCCGAUUCCCACCUUCGCCUGGGGAAGGGCAAUGUCGGUAGAGAUGAACAGCGCCUCGAUGCCGGCCGCGCCGGAGACGCCGGGAUUCUUGUUCUCCGAUUGUUUUCGAGCAUUGGCAGCUAAUGGGGAGGGACUCGAAACCCAAGGAAUCAGGUGGUAAGGGGAAGGGAAAGCAGGCAGCUUGCUCUGCAACUGAUGAUAAUGCCUCCCAAGGGCAAAGGGAAGGGUGGCAAGUCAAGUGAUGGGCUUGGUACCUGCACUUAUGGUAAAGAUAAUGUCAUGCAGAUUACUUCAAGGCACCAAUAGAUUGCACUAUCUAUUUGCAAAUGCCUUGUCCCCAUUCAUGGAUUAACAAGACAGCUUAUUUCUGUUCGACUCGAUCGAUCCUGAUUGGGUCAGACUAAUUUCAUUUCCAAACAAUCAGGAUAACCUGAAACCAGCUAAUCCUGAGUUGGUUCUGUCUAAUUUCUGAUUGAUUUUGUGUAUCAGGCUAGGUACUGGAAGCCAGAAUGACUCAUUCUGUUCUGCACCAAUCUUGGCCAAUUUUCCACCAACUCCCAACAGCUUGCUGAAAAGAUUUGGCAAAAAUCCGACCAUCUAAAAGAAAGGAAAAGGAAAAUCAAUGGGAAAAACAAUCCCACGAUCUGGUUUAGCUGAUCCAAUCAAUUGAGACUGGUUUUGAUUCUGGAUUGUGUUAUCAAUCCCAAAGCUGAUCCAAAUAUUAUGAAAUUUAAGAAGCACAUUCAAGGAAGCUAGCUACUUUAUAGUCUCAUGUGCUCCGAAAUUAAUGGAAUAGCAAGGCACAUAUUAUGUGAAAAACAAGGCAAGAUUAAUGAAGCAUACAAGAAGCUCCAAGAUGGCUGGCAAAGCAAUGGAGACAAGGUUCCCCCUGCUGAAUUUGCAAAGGUAGGUUCUCUGUUCUGUCCACUGAGAUUGUUUCAGAAUCUUGUGAGUUUAGCUAUGGGCAUGAUGAUUGGUAGAGCAUUGUGAUACAAUCUAGAUCCUUAUUUUAUGAUUCCCUACAACAUGUGCUCUCAGUUCUGCUUUUCUUUUCCUUUUUUUAGUGGGUUUAUUGUUCUUUUAUUUUCAUUUUUCACUUUCA